rnacentral:misc_RNA from 1 species
UAUAUUUAAUUUUUAGUAUUUUUUAAUCACAAGUAUGGUGUUUUUAAUAAUAAAUUUUUAUAAAAAAUGUCUCCAGCUUUAUACAACGACCAGACUGUUUUGGAUUAUUGUUAUAGGCAUCUCAUGUUGGAAUAUGACAGUAAUUUGUAUUUUAAUGUUAAAAAGGUUUCUUUCCGAUUCUAUAAGUAUAAGUGUCGAAACUUCAUUUCUACACUGGAAUAUUACGUUCCCAUCUGUAUCAAUUUGUUUAUCUAAAAGUCGGUCUAAUGUGGAAAUUAUGCGCUUUCUGAAUGAAAAGAAUAUUAAUUACAUAAAAAAUAUUCAUAAUUAUUUGUUCAUCACACCGACUAACAUUAAUACCAAAGAGGAUUACUGCCGAGGCUUCAACUCAACCUGUGGAGUAAAUAUUCAUAUUGCAAGAAAACAAUUGCUUACACAAUUCUGCGAAUCCAUUAUAACAGAUAUCACAUUUUUGGAACAUAAACAACACAACUGCGCCAAAAUAUUUAAAUUUCAUGAUCUUGAAAUGGGUUAUUGCUUUCUAGCCAAUAAUUUUAUGGAUUAUCGCAAUUUAGAUGAGUUGCCGUUACGACUUAGCCCGUUUGAAGCGAGGAAAUCAUUAAAACUAUUUCUAAAACAAGAAUCACUUUGGAAAUACGAGAUGUAUGUACAUAGCAACGAGGAUAUACCAUAUUUCGGGUUACUUUCACAAACUUUAGGGCAGGAUCAUAUAAGGUAUACUUAUAAUAUGGAAGAAAUGCUAAAUAGCUUGGCAGUAAAUGAUGAAAGCUUUGAAAAAAGAAAAUGCAAGUUUCCACACGAAACAAUUUAUGGAUCCACUUAUCACUACAGUUUUUCAACAUGCAUGUCUGAUCUCAGAGUUAUUUUGGAGUUAAAAUACUGUAAUUGCACAUUAUUCACAUCUCCGAUAAAAUAUUUCAAUUAUUUCUGUGAUUUUCGUGGAAUGUCAUGUAUAUCCAAAGGUCUAGCGAAAUUAAAAAAAUAGCUCGUCCAAGCUUUGCACUAGUAGAAGUUGAAAUAAAAAAUGUUCCCUCACUUCGCUGUGUAAGAAGUGUUACGCAAUCUUAUCAAGAUUUGGUUGUUUCAGCCGGAGGUGUCAUUGGUCUUUUUAUCGGAAUAUCUAUUUUAAGUGUAAUUGAUAUUGUAUAUCUUUGUUUAAAAAAACUGUAGAUACGUACUUAUAUUCUUAAUAAUAAGAAUUAUUUCAGACAUUUUAUAAAUAUGAAAUUUGUAAAAAACUGUCAA